CCCGCGUGGUGGCGCCUUGCUCCUCGCUGGCGGUCGCCGCCUGCCCGAGAAGCUUCGGUCCAUCCACACCGCUGCCCGACUUGGCUGGAGCUGGGGUUCUGAGAGACUGACCCCUACAGCCGGCCAGCAGAGAGCCCCACGCCGCCGUCCCUGGUCCGGGAUCCACUCCGCUCUUCUCCGCUCCCACGAUGGGAAAAGUUGGCGCCGGCGGCGGCUCCGCAGCCGGGCCGAGCGCGCUCCUCGCCUGCACGGGGCUCUGGGUUCUCCAGGUACUGGGUGCCUGCGGCGGCGGCUCCUGCUGGGUCCCUCGGGCGUAGGGUCCUCACCCCCAGGGGACUUCUGUCCCUCACCAAGGCCAAGAGGCCGGGCUCCUGCCACUUCUUUGCCUCGCUCCGUGCGCUCCCUAAUUUGAGGGGACCAAGGCGAGGGCCCGGACUGCGACCCCCGAGAGCCGGAGCACAGGACCAGUACCCAGGCGAAGCCACCCACCUGGAGCUGGAGAGCUAAGGCUAGUCAGUAUCGAACUGGCUCUCGACAGGGAGACUCCAGACGCGUCUGUAGACUUGGUGCACUCUUGUGGCCACGACAGCAGCCCGAGGAGAGGAGAGGUGAAGGGUGAAAUUGUUAACGGUGAUCUCUUGGAGAAUGAUGGACUAAAUGGUCACCAUUGUCAAGAAUUGAUUGAAAUUUCUGGUGGCAAGCCCAACAAUUAGGGUCUGUUUCUGGGGGAGCCUGUAGCUUCUAAGAUGGAAGAGCAUGUACAGGGCCUGGAAGAAGCGAGGAGCUGCCUCUCACUGGGAAGAUUUUGGUGGUGAUUUUGGUUGACCACUUGGACCAACUCUGCCAUGAAUAUCGUUGAAGAUCUGACCAUUACAUUCCCAAUAACUGUUGCUUCAAUUUCCAUUAGAUGGAUUUCAAGCAGAGGAAUGCCUGUUCUGCUCCAUCUGUGCACGGCCUGUUUUCAUGCAUCCCUAUUGUCUCUCCGUGUGUGAAGAAGAGCAGCCAGUUACUGCAGUGUGUGGCCAUUUACCGCUAAUGAUGCCAGUGGCUCUUUGAAUGGAAGACAUUAUGUAAUCAUUGGUCUCUGACUGCGACACACAUACUUCAUGCAUUUGUCACUGGUCUCUGGCAUUUGAGGAUGCUGCUGCUGAGAAUGGUUACCACCUACAUGUGCCGUUGCAGCUACAAAUUCUGAGCAGGGAGAGAAAACCUCCAGGGGAAUAUUAUUGAGAAUUUUAAAUGAUGGCAAUCUAUCAGGAAAGACCAGUCCACGUUAAGGAGAAUGAAAACUGAGAAGAAGUGUUGGAAGUCACUUCACAAAAGUAAAUUGCUGUGCACAGAGGAGAGAAUUUGAAACCAAGAGCUCCUAGAAAGAAGAACAUUCUAAAUAUAUGCACAGCCAUCUCACCCUCAGGAGUCAAUACUGAGUUUGAAGUGAUUGAAGAAUUAGCCUUUAUGAAUAGCCUGCAUGGAAUAACCACAGCAGUCAAACAGCUGAUGUCGGGAGAUUUGAGAAGAUGGCGGAAGAGUAAGAUGCGGAGAUCGCCUUCCUCCCCACAGAUACAUCAGAAAUACAUCUACAUGUGGAACUGCUCCUAUAGAACACCUACUGAACGCUGGCAGAAGACCUCAGACCUCCCAAAAGGCAAGAAACUCCCCACAUACCUAGGUAGGGCAAAAGAAAAAAGAAUAAACAGAGACAAGAGAAUAGGGACAGGAUCUGCACCAGUGGGAGGGAGCUGUGAAGGAGGAAAGGUUUCCACACACUAGGAAGCCCCUUCGUGGGCGGAGACUGCGGGUGGCGGAGCGGAGAGCUUCGGAGCCACAGAGAGCGCAGCAACAGGGGUGCAGAGGGCAAAGCGGAGAGAUUCCUGCACAGAGGAUCAGGGCCGACCAGCACUCACCAGCCCGAGAGGCUUGUCUGCUCACCCGCCGGGCGGGCAGGGCUGAGAGCUGAGGCUCGGGCUUCGGAGAUCGGGUCGCAGGGAGAGGAUUGGGGUUGGCUGUGUGAACACAGCCUGCAGGGGGUUAGUGCACCACGGCUAGCCGGGAGGGAGUCCGGGAAAAAGUGUGGACCUGCCGAAGAGGCAAGAGACUUUUCCUUGCCUCUGUUUGCUGGUGCGCAAGGAGAGGGGAUUAAGAGCACUGCUUAAAGGAGCUCCAGAGAUGGGUCGCAAGCCCCGGCUAUCAGCGCAGACUCCAGAGACGGGCAUGAGACGGUAAGGCUGCUGCUGCCGCCACCAAGAAGCCUGUGUUCGAGCACAGGUCACUAUCCACACGGCCCCUCCCGGGAGCCUGUGCAGCCCGCCACUGCCAGGGUCCCGGGAUCCAGGGACAACGUCCCCGGGAGAAUGCACAGCGCGCCUCAGGUUGGUGCAAUGUCACGCCGGCCUCUGCCGCUGCCGGCUCACCCCUCACUUUGUACCCCUCCCUCCCCCUGGCCUGAGUGAGCCAGAGCCCCUGAAGCAGCUGCUCCUUUAACCCCGUCCUGUCUGAGCGAAGAACAGACACCCUCAGGUGACCUACACGCAGAGGCUGGGCCAAAUCCAAAGCUGAGCCCCGGGAGCUGUGCGAACAAAGAAGAGAAAGGGAAAUCUCUCGCAGCAGCCUCAGAAGCAGCGGAUCAAAGCUCCACAAUCAACUUUAUGUACCCUGCAUCUGUGGAAUACCUGAAUAGACAACGAAUCAUCCCAAAUUGAGGAGGUGGACUUUGGGAGCAAGAUAUAUUAUUUUUUCACCUUUUCCUCUUUUUGUGAGUGUGUAUGUGUAUGCUUCUGUGUGAGAUUUUGUCUGUAUAGCUUUGCUUUCACCAUUUGUCCUAGGGUUCUGUAUG